rnacentral:rRNA from 1 species
GAUGAACGCUGGCGGCGUGCCUAAUACAUGCAAGUCGAGCGAACGGACGAGAAGCUUGCUUCUCUGAUGUUAGCGGCGGACGGGUGAGUAACACGUGGAUAACCUACCUAUAAGACUGGGAUAACUUCGGGAAACCGUAGCUAAUACCGGAUAAUAUUUUGAACCGCAUGGUUCAAAAGUGAAAGACGGUCUUGCUGUCACUUAUAGAUGGAUCCGCGCUGCAUUAGCUAGUUGGUAAGGUAACGGCUUACCAAGGCAACGAUGCAUAGCCGACCUGAGAGGGUGAUCGGCCACACUGGAACUGAGACACGGUCCAGACUCCUACGGGAGGCAGCAGUAGGGAAUCUUCCGCAAAGGGCGAAAGCCUGACGGAGCAACGCCGCGUAAGUGAUGAAGGUCUUCGGAUCGUAAAACUCUGUUAUUAGGGAAGAACAUAUGUGUAAGUAACUGUGCACAUCUUGACGGUACCUAAUCAGAAAGCCACGGCUAACUACGUG